rnacentral:rRNA from 1 species
UACGUAGGGUGCGAGCGUUAAUCGGAAUUACUGGGCGUAAAGUGUGCGCAGGCGGCCGCGCAAGUCGAGUGUGAAAGCCCCGGGCUUAACUUGGGAAUUGCGCUCGAAACUACGUGGCUGGAGUGUGGCAGAGGAAGGUGGAAUUCCAGGUGUAGCGGUGAAAUGCGUAGAGAUCUGGAGGAACACCGAUGGCGAAGGCGGGUCUCUGGGCCGAUACUGACGCUGAGGAGCGAAAGCGUGGGGAGCGAACAGG